GUCCCUGUAGCUUAAUGGUUAGCGCAUUGGAUCUCUAAUCUAAAGGUCGUGGGUUCGAAUCCCACCUGGGAUG